rnacentral:rRNA from 1 species
AUGAACGCUGGCGGCGUGCUUAACACAUGCAAGUCGAACGAAGCGUCUCGACCCGAAGAAGAGAAGUGCUGCACGGACCUAAUCAAUUGAGACGACUUAGUGGCGGACGGGUGAGUAACGCGUGGGUAACCUGCCGUAUGCAGGGGGACAACAGUUGGAAACGACUGCUAAUACCGCAUAAGCGCACGGUAUCGCAUGGUACAGUGUAGAAAAGAUUUAUCGGCAUACGAUGGACCCGCGUCUGAUUAGCUAGUUGGUGAGGUAACGGCCCACCAAGGCGACGAUCAGUAGCCGACCUGAGAGGGUGACCGGCCACAUUGGGACUGAGACACGGCCCAAACUCCUACGGGAGGCAGCAGUGGGGAAUAUUGCACAAUGGGCGAAAGCCUGAUGCAGCGAACCGCCGCGUGAGCGAUGAAGUUAUUUCGGUAUAGUAAAGCUCUAUCAGCAGGGAAGAUAAUGACGGUACCUGACUAAGAAGCUCCGGCUAAAUACGUGCCAGCCGCCGC